rnacentral:lncRNA from 1 species
AUGGCGNCGGCGAGGUCAGGCGCGGCUGGGGAGAGAAGGAGGCAAGCACAGUCAACGCACAUAAAUACAGACAUACAGUUAACAAAAAUAGUAUUAUCGUAUUCACAACUGAAUAUAAACUACUCUCCGAUAUAUACAGCUGAGCUUGCACAGGGCGGGGGGGAAGAGGCCCAGCUUGGUCACACCGGCUUCCGAGAGGACAGUUUGCAUGAGCAGCCAAGGGGGGUUCGAAACGGUGCCGUGGUCAGGGGGGACCCGGCCGAGACUGGCGAUGGGGGCGCAGCAAAGACCGGCUGCCGGGGCUGCUGCCCGGGGAGGGAAGGAAGGAAGGAGGACGUGUGUGUGGGCUCCCUUCCGUGGACGUGCUCCCNCCUCCGCCCGGUACGUUCACUCCACACGUGUUCAGACCGGCUUUGCACACGGAGUUCCCAAUCCCCUCGGCUGCUGCAGAAACCAAGGGAGACACAACCAGGCCUGUUCUCCUGUCCGGGGGUGGUGGUGGNGGGGAUGGUGUCCCUCCUGCUGCGGCUCUUCCUCUUCCUUCUCNGACCCCCACCCCAAACGUGCACAACAGCUUCUCUGAGCCUAACGGCGGCAGAGCUGCGGGAAAGCGUCUGCAGCCAGAGUCCUCUCCAAAUCGCCCUUCCGAUUCCCCUGCGACUGCCGACCAUCUUGAAGCAUCCAGGCGACGCCACCAGAGAAGGCCCUAGGGACCACUUAGGGCAGGGCUGCUCCACUUGCNGCCCUCCGGAGGUCCACGGACUACACUUCCCAGCAUCCCAGGCCAGUCUGGCCAAUGAAGCAGGCACGGAAUGUUGGGGGAAAGGNAUGCUGGGAAGCGCGGGCAAGAACGCCCGGGGGACUGCAAGCCGAGCAACCUCGCCUUGGGUCUUCAGAAGGCCUGCUCCCUCCACCGCCUCUCCAAGACCACCUCCUAGGACAAGCACGCCAGCCUUCCCCAACCCGGCGCCCUGCGGCCGGGUUGCCCUGCAACUCACGCCCGCCUCACCCAGCCCAGCCGGAGCUGCAGGCCACAAGGCGGCUGGCAAAACUACGACACGGCGUCUCUCCACCUCUACGCCCGUAACUUCGCUACCAACCCUACACUUACAAGAAAAAGCACUUCACACAGUUAAACCGGCAGCAUCUAUUUAUGCCAUCCACCGUCCUCAGCAGGAAAGCAUGGGCGCGCAUGUGUGCACGCACGCACACACACAACUACACAGCUUCCCAGCACAUACUCCGCACGGCAUGGCCUCGCACACGCUGUUGAUUUUUGCUCUUACUGGAAGUUCCUUGGGCGGCCGCCAAGGAGUCUCUCUGGAGAGGCAGCCUAGCAAUUAG